rnacentral:rRNA from 1 species
CAGCCGCCGCGGUAAUACCGGCGGCCCGAGUGGCGGCCACUAUUAUUGGGCUUAAAGCGUCCGUAGCCGGGUUGGUUAGUCUCCCGGGAAAUCUGGCCGCUUAACGGUCAGAAUUCCGGGGGAUACUGCCAGCCUAGGGACCGGGAGAGGCCGAGGGUAUUCCCGGAGUAGGGGUGAAAUCCUAUAAUCCCGGGAGGACCACCUGUGGCGAAGGCGCUCGGCUGGAACGGGUCCGACGGUGAGGGACGAAGGCCAGGGGAGCAAACCGGAUUAGAUACCCGGGUAGUCCUGGCGGUAAACGAUGCGGACUUUGUGUCGGACAAGCUAUGAGCUUGUCCGGUGCCGGAGGGAAACCGUUAAGUCCGCCGCCUGGGGAGUACGGCCGCAAGGCUGAAACUUAAAGGAAUUGGCGGG